GUCCUAGCUGUAAACGAUGAGUACUAGGUGUUGGAGGUAUUGACCCCUUCAGUGCCGAAGCUAACGCAUUAAGUACUCCGCCUGGGAACUACGAUCGCAAGAUUGAAACUCAAAGAAUUGACGGGGCCCGCACAAGCGGUGGAGCAUGUUGUUAAUUCGAUGCAACGCGAAAACCUUACCUAAAUUUGGCAUGGUGUGACAUCCGUAUGAAAGUACGGCUUCCCGCAAGGGACACACACACAGGUGCUGCAUGGCUGUCGU
rnacentral:rRNA from 1 species